rnacentral:rRNA from 1 species
ACAGGGAUUGCCCUAGUAACGGCGAGUGAAGCGGCAACAGCUCAAAUUUGAAAUCUGGCUCUUUCAGAGUCCGAGUUGUAAUUUGCAGAGGGCGCUUUGGCGUUGGCAGCGGUCCAAGUUCCUUGGAACAGGACGUCACAGAGGGUGAGAAUCCCGUACGUGGUCGCUGGCCUUCGCCGUGUAAAGCCCCUUCGACGAGUCGAGUUGUUUGGGAAUGCAGCUCUAAAUGGGAGGUAAAUUUCUUCUAAAGCUAAAUACUGGCCAGAGACCGAUAGCGCACAAGUAGAGUGAUCGAAAGAUGAAAAGCACUUUGGAAAGAGAGUCAAAUAGCACGUGAAAUUGUUGAAAGGGAAGCGCUUGCAGCCAGACUUGCCUGUAGUUGCUCAUCCGGGCUUUUGCCCGGUGCACUCUUCUGUAGGCAGGCCAGCAUCAGUUUGGACGGUUGGAUAAAGGACUCUGUCACGUACCUCCUUUCGGGGAGGCCUUAUAGGGGAGUCGUCAUGCAACCAGUCUGGACUGAGGUCCGCGCAUCUGCUAGGAUGCUGGCGUAAUG